UCACUAACCCUAAUGCACCACAUUUGGAUAUCUCGUAAACCACUCACUCUCACUCUCACUCUCACCCUCACCCUCACCCUCAACUAUUUGGGCCAGCGCUCCUUCUUCUCCUCUCAACUACUGCGCACGAUCCAACCACCGUUUGCUUUCAAACCCUACUUCGUCCCAUUAUCUUCAGAGCAUACUAAACUACAACAAUGAGCAACUUGCUGAAAACACUUAUGUUAUGUGAUUCGUCUUCAUCUGAUGACGAUGAGGACAUGAUGUUUAUUAUAGCACUGGAGUUUCAGAGGAGGCUAACUCAACUACGUAACCAACAAACUGAACGUGUUGGUUCUACUAGCAGUCGGCGACACACUCAUCGUGGUAAAGUCUCUAACAAGAAAAGAAAGAGAGAUCUUGUGGACACACAUCAACAACAAAGUUCUCAAGAAAUUAUUCAGUCCUCUUCGCACUCCAUGUCACCAUCUCCCAGUGGUGAUCCACACCAAACACAGCCCGCCACCCCAGCAGACACCGAAAAAAGCAGCACCAACGUGUAGGGCCGCAUUUGGUAGCCAACUUCUAAGUUUGUUUUUGCACUAUCCUCAUUUGGUAGCCAGAUGAGGAAAAUGAGGUUGGUUAGUGUUGAUUGUGGCAUCUAGGUAUGUUAUAUGUGUUGAGGCAAACUGAGGCAGCCAAGUAUGUACUAAUUAAGUUGGUUGUGACUAUCAGAUGGUUCACUGCCAUCUGUUGUUUUUUUUUUUUUUUUCCUUUCCUGCAAAUGUUUCCUAUCCUUCAAAUAUAGCAUAUCUGCUCUUUUGUAGUAGUAGUUUAACA